UACGGGGGGGGUAAGCGUUGUUCGGAAUUACUGGGCGUAAAGGGCUCGUAGGCGGCCAACUAAGUCGGACGUGAAAUCCCUCAGCUUAACUGGGGAACUGCGUCCGAUACUGGAUGGCUUGGAUUCGGGAGAGGGAUGCGGAAUUCCAGGUGUAGCGGUGAAAUGCGUAGAUAUCGGAAGGAACGCCGGUGGCGAAAGCGACGGACUGGACCCCUUCUGACGCUGAGGCGCGAAAGCCAGGGGAGCAAACGGG
rnacentral:rRNA from 1 species